AUUGAACGCUGGCGGCAUGCCUUACACAUGCAAGUCGAACGGCAGCACGGGUGCUUGCACCUGGUGGCGAGUGGCGAACGGGUGAGUAAUACAUCGGCACAUGUCCUGUAGUGGGGGUUAGCCCGGCGAAAGCCGGAUUAAUACCGCAACCGAUCAACGGCUAAAAGCGGGGGACCUUCGGCCUCCGCCCUUUCGGGUUGGCCGAUGCCGGAUUAGCUAGUUGUUGGGGUAAAGGCCUACCAAGGCGACGAUCAGUAGCUGGUCUGAGAGGACGACCAGCCACACUGGGACUGAGACACGGCCCAGACUCCUACGGGAGGCAGCAGUGGGGAAUUUUGGACAAUGGGCGAAAGCCUGAUCCAGCAAUGCCGCGUGUGUGAAGAAGGCCUUCGGGUUGUAAAGCACUUUUGUCCGGAAAGAAAUCCUUGGCUCUAAUACAGUCGGGGGAUGACGGUACCGGAAGAAUAAGCACCGGCUAACUACGUG
rnacentral:rRNA from 1 species